AGUGAACGCUGGCGGCGUGCCUAAUACAUGCAAGUCGAACGAAGUGGCGCACGGGUGAGUAAUAUAUAGUUAAUCUGCCCUACACAGAGGAACAAUAGUUGGAAACGACUGCUAAUACCUCAUAGUGUAGGAUGAGACUAUCUCGUAUCAGCUGGUUGGUAAGGUAAUGGCUUACCAAGGCUAUGACGCGUAACUGGUCUGAGAGGAUGAUCAGUCACAUUGGUACUGAGACACGGUCAAACCUCCGACGGGAGGCAGCAGUAAGGAAUAUUGCGCGAUGGGAGAGUCCCUGACGCAGCAACGCGGCGUGGAGGAUAAUACUUUUCGGUGCGUAAACUUCUUUUAUCAGGAAAGCGGUACCUGCUGAAUAAGCACCGGCUAACUCCGUGCCAGCAGCCGCGGUAAUAC
rnacentral:rRNA from 1 species